rnacentral:misc_RNA from 1 species
GUUUUUAUCAUAAGAAAUAAAAAUACAUUCAAUGACUAUUGUGUGUGUAUAAAAAAACAUAGUAAACCGGUUUCAACAGAGUGAAAGACUAAACUUUCUCUCAAUAUCCACAAGUAAUACUACAAAAGGUGCACAGGUGUAAGUGGGAUUGAAGGUGUGGCGUGCACAUACUAGAAACACUAGCCAGCAACAGCCACCAAUCAUUAAUGAUCCUUCCGCAGGUUCACCUACGGAAA